UACAGAGGGUGCGAGCGUUGUCCGGAAUCACUGGGCGUAAAGGGCGCGUAGGCGGCCUUCUAAGUCGAACGUGAAAUCCCCGGGCUCAACCCGGGAACUGCGUCCGAUACUGGAAGGCUUGAAUCCGGGAGAGGGAUGUGGAAUUCCUGGUGUAGCAGUGAAAUGCGUAGAUAUCAGGAGGAACACCGAUGGCGAAGGCAGGUCUCUGGGCUGACACUGACGCUCAUGCACGAAAGCGUGGGGAGCAAACAGG
rnacentral:rRNA from 1 species